GUGCUCACUUUAGCAGCACAUACACUAAAAUUGUAAUGACAUACAGAAGAUUAGCAUGUCCCCUGUGCAAGGAUGCCACACAAAUUCAUGAAGCAUUCUAUAUUUUU
rnacentral:snRNA from 1 species